rnacentral:lncRNA from 1 species
UUCCACUCUCUUGUACUCUAUCAGCUUCCUAAGUCACAUGCUGCUAGGGCAGAUCCACAGACAUCUGUGAAAGAGACAGAGAGGAGAUGACUGGACUCUCAGAUGGGCUCCUGGGAAACCGCACAAAACCCAGAAGAGAUGGGACAGGACAUGGCGGCUCAUACCUGUAAUCCCAAUAUUUGGAAGCUUGAGGCAGGAGGAUUACUACAAGUUUGGCCACAGCAAAGACUGCAGUGAGAGUCCUGCAUCUACAGAGUGAGACUCCACUCAUAACAAAACCAAAAAGUCUAACAUGGUAGGAAUUCUCACAACUAUUAGCAUUCCCAGAUCUCUGUGUGCUUCCCUCCCCAUUAAGAAGGUGAGGCGUCAUGAUGAGUUUCAGCUGCCAACCUGACCCGCUGGGAAGAGGGAACCUCAGUAGAGGAACUGCCUCCAUGAGACUGGCCUGUGGACAAGUCUGGGGGCAUUUUCUUUGUUGUUAAUUAAUGUAGGAGGCCAUGACAUUGUCAUUGCUGGGCCAGUGGCCUGGGUCAUAUAAGAAGAAUAGCUGAUGAAGAGCCUGAAAGCCAGCCAGUAAGCAGCAUUUUUCUGGUUUCUGCUUCAGUCUCCUCUUUGAACUCCUACCUUGAUUUCCCUCAGCGAUGAAUCUCUGUUGCCCAUCAGCCAAAGAAACCCUUUCCUUACCUAAGUUGCUUCUGGUCACUUGUAUUUUAUACAAGGUUUUCUUAUCUAUUGCUUUCUAAUUCUGGAUUGUCAGGAGAGAUCUGUGU